rnacentral:rRNA from 1 species
CCUACGGGUGGCAGCAGUGGGGAAUAUUGCACAAUGGCGGAAACGCUGAUGCAGCGACGCCGCGUGAGUGAAGAAGUAAUUCGUUAUGUAAAGCUCUAUCAGCAGGGAAGUAAAUGACUGUACCUGAGUAAGAUGCCAUGUCUACCUACGUGCCACCAGCCGCGGUAAUACGGCGGGGGCAAGCGUUAUCCGGAUUUACUGGGUGUAAAGGGAGCGUAGGCGGCAGUGCAAGUCCGGAGUGAAAGGCGGGGGCUCAACCCCAGGACUGCUCUGGAAACUGUACGGCUGGAGUGUGGGGGAGGUAGGUGGAAUGCCUGGUGUAGCGGUGAAAUGCGUAGAUAUUAGGAGGAACUCCGGUGGCGAAGGCAGCUUACUGAGCUGUAACUGACGGUGAGGCUCGAAAGCGUGGGGAGCAAACAGGAUUAGAUACCCGUGUAGUC